rnacentral:rRNA from 1 species
UAAUACAACUUUCAACAACGGAUCUCUUGGCUCUCGCAUCGAUGAAGAACGCAGCGAAAUGCGAUAAGUAAUGUGAAUUGCAGAAUUCAGUGAAUCAUCGAAUCUUUGAACGCACCUUGCGCCCCUUGGUAUUCCGAAGGGCAUGCCUGUUUGAGUGUCAUU